rnacentral:rRNA from 1 species
UACGAAGGGGGCUAGCGUUGUUCGGAAUUACUGAGCGUAAAGCGCACGUAGGCGGAUAUUUAAGUCAGGGGUGAAAUCCCAGAGCUCAACUCUGGAACUGCCUUUGAUACUGGGUAUCUUGAGUAUGGAAGAGGUAAGUGGAAUUCCGAGUGUAGAGGUGAAAUUCGUAGAUAUUCGGAGGAACACCAGUGGCGAAGGCGGCUUACUGGUCCAUUACUGACGCUGAGGUGCGAAAGCGUGGGGAGCAAACAGG